rnacentral:rRNA from 1 species
UACGUAGGGUGCAAGCGUUGUCCGGAAUUAUUGGGCGUAAAGAGCUCGUAGGCGGUCUGUCGCGUCGGAUGUGAAAAUCCAGGGCUUAACCCUGGACCUGCAUUCGAUACGGGCAGACUAGAGUUCGGUAGGGGAGACUGGAAUUCCUGGUGUAGCGGUGAAAUGCGCAGAUAUCAGGAGGAACACCGAUGGCGAAGGCAGCUCGCUGGGACGGUACUGACGCUGAGGCGCGAAAGCGUGGGGAGCAAACAGG